rnacentral:rRNA from 1 species
UACAGAGGGUGCAAGUGUUGUUCGGAAUUACUGGGCGUAAAGGGCGCGUAGGCGGCUUGGUCAGUCCCGUGUGAAAUCCCUCGGCUCAACUGAGGAACUGCACGGGAAACUGCCUGGCUUGAGUUCGGGAGAGGGAAGCGGAAUUCCGGGUGUAGCGGUGAAAUGCGUAGAUAUCCGGAGGAACACCGGUGGCGAAGGCGGCUUCCUGGACCGACACUGACGCUGAGGCGCGAAAGCUAGGGGAGCAAACGGG